rnacentral:tRNA from 1 species
GCUUCACUAGCUCAGUUGGCAGAGCGUCAGUCUCAUAGCAUCUGAAGGUCGACAGUUCGAACCUGCCGUGGAGCA